rnacentral:rRNA from 1 species
AUGAGUGUAUUUAAAUUGCCAUUCUCGGUAUGCGAUGAUCUAACCAAGCUUAUGAGGCAAUAUUGGUGGGGUGUUGAGAGAGGAAGAAGGAAGAUGGCUUGGGUGGCUUGGGACAAGCUCGUUCUACCAAAGGUGAAAGGUGGACUUGGUUUCAGGGGUAUGAGAGCUUUCAACCAAGCUUUGUUGGCCAAACAAGCAUGGAGGUUAGUCGUUCAACCGAACAAUCUUUGUGCACGACUGUUGAAAGCUCGAUACUAUCCUAAUGGAAGUUUAGUUGAUACAGUUUUUUCUGGGAAUUCUUCUCCGGUUUGGAAAGGGUGGCGCAUGGUCUCGAAUUUUUGA